rnacentral:rRNA from 1 species
ACGGAAGGCAGCAGUGGGGAAUAUUGGGCAAUGGGCGAAAGCCUGACCCAGCAACGCCGCGUGAAGGAAGAAGGCCUUCGGGUUGUAAACUUCUUUUACCAGGGACGAAGGAUGUGACGGUACCUGGAGAAGAAGCCCCGGCUAACUACGUGCCAGCAGCCGCGGUAAUACGUAGGGGGCAAGCGUUAUCCGGAUUUACUGGGUGUAAAGGGAGCGUAGACGGCAUGGCAAGUCUGAUGUGAAAGCCCGGGGCUCAACCUCGGUACUGCAUUGGAAACUGUUAAGCUAGAGUGCAGGAGAGGUAAGUGGAAUUCCUAGUGUAGCGGUGAAAUGCGUAGAUAUUAGGAGGAACACCAGUGGCGAAGGCGGCUUACUGGACUGUAACUGACGUUGAGGCUCGAAAGCGUGGGGAGCAAACAGGAUUAGAUACCCUGGUA